ACGCAUGCGAAGAGCGGUCAUAAGAUAGACAUAGAAAAGCUUAAAAGCUUAUCACCGAAUAUCAUUGAUCUGCGGUCACCUUGGAUAAGUGAACGAAACAUCACGCGAUUCUUAUCUAUGUUUUUGCAUAUCGAGAUAAGAGUGCCGUUAUGUAAAAGCUUUUUCUCUAGCAUAGUUAGGGCUAGAUUUGCAUAGGAGAGCUUUGACAUUAUUUGACGAGCUUGAAAGCAAUACGGCUGCAAUUGUAAGCCAAGUUUAAUAAAUAUUUAAAUUGUGCUGAAAAUUAAAUAAAAUCAAAUCCCAGACGAAUAAUCGGGAUUCAUUUAAUAAGUGUUUAGUUAUUUUAUGCCAGUGCCACGUGCCAGUGCGGCUAGUACCAAAUUAUCACCCUAUUAUGCAACCGGCUAUCUGGAGGCCGAAAUGGAUGAAAUAUGGGAAUUAUCUAGUGCAGAGAUUCGACGCGGGAUCGCAAUCUUUUGAUAAUUAUUUUUGGAUUCGACGACAAGCCCCCUUUUCGCUACACGGAGAGAAAACUCCGGCGAAUUAUUUAUAAAUUUGUAACUAUAAGAAGUGCAAUUAUGUGAAUAUUGGCCUGCUGAAUUUUAUUCAAAGCUCAAAUCCCUUUUGUUAAUUAUCCCUUUUGUUAAUUAUGAAAUUAUUCUGCGGAAAGAAAGAAUAUUGUAUCUUAAUUCGAAUUUUGCACACCCUUCAGUUUUUUAAAAUAAUUAAUAUCUUAAUAUCCGUUGUUAUUUUAUUAAAUAUAUAUAGAUUUAUGUAAAUAUAUAUAUAAGUGAUGUGAAAAUAUAAGGAAAGAAUUUAGAUUGAAUUAAAUAAUGAUAACUUUGCGAUAAUAUUCGAGCAUGGCCAGGCUAAUUUAUUGUUAUAUUUAAAUUAAUAAUUGUAAACAUCUCUAGCUAUUCCUGUCCUUGAGCUCAACGGCGGCGAACAUCGGUGAGUGAAUAUCCCUAAAUUAAAUUUUAAUAGUUUUGCGAAGCAAACAGUAAAUUUUAGCAAGGCAUGAAUUGGAUAAUUUUGGAUUAAUAAUAAUUUUAACUAAUGAAAUCGCAAAUUUUAUAAUUCCUAAUUUAAUUACUACAUUAAUCCCAAACGUAGUUAAACUGAUUUAUUAAAUUUAA